rnacentral:lncRNA from 1 species
AAGGGCCAGCUACUGAAGGGAAAGCAUCUCUUGGACUUAGACUGCUUCCUGAGAGGGAGUGCUGUAUAACUAGAGAGUCCCUUCACUGGUUCAGGUGCGAGUUGCUUUAGAUGCAACAGCAACUGGAUUAAGAUCCCAGGGAGAUGCUCAGCGUUACUGCAAUGCUAAGAGAUCGUGUGUGGGCAUCAGAGAGCAUAGGAUCCAUGACAGAUCUUCAAGUGAAGAGAGAAAUGCAUUCAGAACCUUCGAUUUCAUGAUAUCAAUGAAAAAUGGAAAACUCAUUGUGACCUUACUUAUUCUUCAUGACCUUAUAACUUCCAAAAUAUUAAAGUUCUAUCUCUGUCUUGCCUGGAAUGUAAGCCAGUUCUUCAGCAUGGCCUAAGCAGCACCUGCUCUCAAGCAGCACACUUGCUUGCAGUGAAUGCAUGUUUACUGCUUGAUCUUCUCAGGCACUUUACUUUUUACCUCCUCUCUCUUUUAAGCAGCUGAAGAAUAUACUUGGGAAGAAGUAUGUUGCUCACAAGCCACAUGGUGUGCUCUAUAUUCUUGGCAGAAUACCUGCCAUGCACUUGAUCACUAUGGAAUCUCCCUUGGCCCUUAUUCUGCUCCAAGAAGAGAAGAUGAUCUACCGUGUAACUGGAUAUAGGGGGAAAAAAGCUUGUUUGACAAAAUUGUAAAAUUCUAAAAUAUUGCAACUGUCAAAAGUCUCUUUUAGAUACAGUAUAUUUCUUCCUUGCAAUUUUCAUAUUUUUGAAGACACGUCAGUGCUGUCAUCUAAUUCCCUUUUCAUCUCAGGAGGCACUCUUUUGCUCAGGAGGCAGAGCACUGGCACAGGCUAGCUAGAGAGAACAUGGGUCUCCUUCUUUGGAGAUCUUCAAAAGACGAACAUGGAAAUUGGCCCGUGCACCCUGCUCUAGCUGUCUCUGCUUGAGCAAGGGGUUGGAACAGAUGGAUCCAGAGCUCUCUUCCAACCUCAACCAGUCUUUAUCUCCUCCUGGAAGCAGGUAUGCGUUCCCUUACUUUUUCACAUGAGACAGUCAUUGGAAGAACAAUUGCUCCAAAUACCUGGGGAAAAAAAAAAAAGAAAUAAAGCUUAUCUGUACAUCAUUUUUGAGGAUAUCUCUGAGACUGUAUUGGAAUAAGUCACUACUGCAUAGUAAUGAUCUUUUUAUACUUUAUCCAGGCCUCUCUUCAAUGAACCAUCUCUGAUGUAAAGAAUUUAAAGAAUAAAACUGAAAAGAUAAUAUUUCUCUAAGGAAUUUAGGGGCCUCUUUACUAUGGCUGACCUUCCUGGGACGGGACAGCGGUGCUUGCUAUUACGCUUGCAUUCUUGGAGGUUCAAUGAUUUUAAUUGUACUCUAGUCAGCAUAUUUCUAAAUAAACAAAUACUUAAAUGU